rnacentral:rRNA from 1 species
ACUGCCUGCCCAGUGAAAAUUAUUUUAACGGCCGCGGUAUUCUGACCGUGCAAAGGUAGCAUAAUCACUUGUCUUUUAAAUAAAGACCUGUAUGAACGGCAACACGAAGGCUUAACUGUCUCCUUUACCUAAUCAGUGAAAUUAGUUAUCCUGUACAAAAACAGGAAUACUCACACAAGACGAGAAGACCCUAUGGAGCUUUAAACGCACAGCCAACCUAACACACCAACCAGUUAUUUGACCUGUCGUUUUCGGUUGGGGCGACCACGGAGAACAAUACAUCCUCCGAGUACAUAUUAACACAAUUAAUUAGACUAAGAGCCACAUCACAAAGCACCAGAAAUUCUAAUUUAUUGACCCAUGAUUUGAUCAACGAACCAAGUUACCCUAGGGAUAACAGCGCAAUCCUAUUAGAGAGUCCAUAUCGAUAAUGGGGUUUACGACCUCGAUGUUGGAUCAGGAUCCCCAAACAGUGCAGCAGCUGUUAAAGGUUCGUUUGUUCAACGAUUAAAAUCCU